CGUGACUUGGCGAGUACAGCAAGUCUGGCUAGAGUUUCUCAAGGGUGUGCCCAUGGGGAUUAGUGGAAAGAGCUCUGUGCUUGGGUUGGGUGGUUUGCCCACUCCACCUUUUAUUCUCCUUGGGUGGUUCAUAGGAAGAGGCCAAGAGAGAGAGAAGGAUGCUGUAUUUAUGGGAAAAGGCUACCAGAAUUUCCAUCCGAGGAACUACUAAUGACAUUUAGCAAAUGUCUCUUUAUCUUUUGAUGGAGCAGAGAGAGGUCUGAGGAUGAACUGCUUUCAUCUUCUCGCUGUGUGAUCUUGCACGGGUCCUUUCCUAUCCCUCCUCUGCCACUCUUCUAGGACCGAAGGGGUUCGAGGGUGACCUUUCUGGCCACUUGCAAUUGCUAAGAGUGUAUUGAUUUGAGAAUUAAAGGAACGUGGCUCUUGAAAUGUGUGUGCGGUAGAGGCCAUCCAAAAUAGCUAAUGAAGAAACAUCCUGGGGAUUACGCCAAGUUCACAACGCAUUUUAAUGAGCCGUGAGUGUGUGUGAAUGCGUGUGUCGACCACAUGCACAUUGAUGGCUGUGGCAGGGAGGACGCUGUUUCUGAGAGUAGAGUCCUCACUUCUGAGAAACUUACAGAAGGUGGAACAGAUCACGCCGUAUUUCAUAGCAGCCUAAUUCUGACAUGCAUCUGCAAGCCUCAUAAGUCGUGGUUUGGUCGGUGCUGCCCAUCAAAUCAACUUCCUGAACUUGUUUUCAUCUGAACUCCAAGGCAGCCCAGGCGCGGGGGGAGCGCAAUCGCUCGUGUCUGACUGGCUGCCUCUGAAGUCGUCCGUUACCAGUAGUCUGUUUAGAAGGUGGAUUGUUAAUUGUUUGAUUUUUCUGCCAACAGGAUUCCCUGCAAAUUAGAAUUGUAAUCGCUGUGGGUAUUUCCUGAAUUAAAAGAAAAUAUAUAAUAAAAUAAAUAAAUAUUAGUUGUUUGGUUGUAUAAGCUUUUGAGACCUGCGAGGCUCCUCAUCAAUUAUUAAACUUGGCCGAAGAUGACAUUCCUAACUAGUGAGUGUGCCUGGAAAAAAAAAGACGCUGGCUAGAAAGCUUUGAGGCGCAAAUUUCCACGUUCUUACUGCUUGGCUCUGAAAGUCUAUGCCCGGAAGCUUUAAUUUCUUUAA
rnacentral:lncRNA from 1 species